rnacentral:lncRNA from 1 species
AUUUUGGGUGACCCAAGAGAUCAGCUUAGACACCAGGACAACAGCGUGGUUUGGGGUAGAAAGCCAUAGGACCUCAGCUUGAGGCCAGGAUUAAUUCAUGUUUCCAUUAACUGAGAGUCACCCAGCUCUAUUAGCAUAUCUGAUAUUAUGUUCAGGGCCAUGAAGAAAUUUGGAGAAUAGUUGAACUAUGUCUUUAAGAUCAUUACAGAAGAAAUGGAAAUGCAGACAAUUUGAGACCAGGGGAAAAUAUGAAAUGACAGAAACAAAGGCACAUGAGAAAGCUCUCUGUUGCCUACUAUGGACAACUGAAGAAGGCUUCAAGUGACCUUUGACCUGAGUCCUACUAAGAAGUUACCCCCACCACUUAACAAGCACUCUUGUGUCACUCAAAGCAAUGUUCAUUUUCCAAUGUAACAACUACAGUGGCUGAAUGAAGUGGCUUUUCCCUUAACUGUUAAUCUGUGAUAACUGAGCCUUAUGAAGUCUAAGAUCUAAUAGGUAAGUUUCAGAAAUAAGAUUUGGACCUGUAUCAUCC